UUCUCUCUUACAGUGUGCAUUUGUGUUGCCAUCGUGCAGUGUGUCCAGCAUUUCUUGCAAUAUAUAUUUAUGUGUUUCCCCAAGAUGGUCAUUGGUGCCACCAGGAGAUACAGACGACACCAUCAGAGGAAGUGAGAUCAACAUGACACUCUAUGCAUUUUUGGAACCAGCUGUUUCCUUCUCCAUCUUUGGAAUUUGGAGGAAGCAAAGGGGUCCGAAGAAGCAGAAUAAACUUUUGAACAAAGGUAGAGACAUAAUUUGUGGUGGAACAAGUUUGGAAGCUUUCUUAUAUGUCAAAAAGAGCAACCCACUGCUUGGAAGUUAAACAAAUUGCAUGGAGGUUGGGUGUCUAUAAAGCUACAGGAAUUACACCAAGCCUUUGCAGCUAAAGCCAAGCUAUGCCCUUGAGACAGUGGAGAUCUAUGUAAGCAGAAAGUAUUAUACAGACUUUGUUUUACUUACUUACUUACCAUAUUUAUAUCCCGCCUUUCUCAACCCCUGGGGGGACUCAAGGGGCUUACAAAUGGCAUUACAUAAUGCUUUACUUAGGCGAUCCCUCAUUGUCCGAGUAUGAUGGUCCUCCAAGUGUAGUGUCUUGGCAGUGGGUACGUAGGUGACUGUAUAGCCCUAUUAUUGUUUUAUCAUUUGCUUUGUGAGGCAAGCUGAAGUUUCAGGGUCACUAUUAUUUAUUAGGAUAUGCCAUCCUUCAAAACAUGCAUAUGAAUGAGUGGAGGAAAAUAUAUGUGGAGAAAGCAGAAGCCUUUAAAACAGUUUUUUUAAUUAACUUGUUACUUAUUGUUAAUAGCUUUGGGCAGUAACUAAGGCAGAACAAUUUAAAUUACAAUGGUUGAAGUUCUGGCUCAUGGUCUUCCUCACACUCUGCUGCUUCAACUGAGAUAUUGGGUGAGAAGUGUUUUGCACAAACGGAUUGCAGUUUUUAGAGUUUAGAUUUUUAAAAAGUAACUAGUAACUGGUGGCUUUAGAGAAACAGGAGUUGUGUUUAAACAAAUCGGCUGAUAAUGUCAACUAGCUAUUUCAGAAGGGCUUAGAUUUAGAACCAUAAUUAUUAUAAUAAAUCACAAUAUAAUUAUAACUGUACGUUAUUCCCCCACUGAGACAGAGAGCCCUUGUCCCAGGAUGACAGCAAUAUAUGCGCGUAAUUACAGAGACAUCUAUAGAAUGUUCUUUUUGUGAAAAGAGAAGAACAUGACAAAGCAUUCCAAUAACAUUUCAUUUCACAUGGAGGGAAGGUACAUAUGUGAAUAUUUUUGGAGGGCAAAUUAUUAUUGCAGGUUAAAAGCUAGCAGACGAAAGGAAAAAGUCAGUAGACUGGCAUAAUUCUAUGCAUGUCUGUUCUGUUCUCGUUCCCAAAAAACGUGUGUACAAUUGCAGGCUUAAAUCUUUCUUUUUUUGUUGCAUAUUAUCAUUCUUUGCUUACUGUUUUUUAAACACAUAGCUUCUAAAGUGCUUCAG
rnacentral:lncRNA from 1 species